rnacentral:tRNA from 1 species
GCUUCCGUAGUCCAAUGGAUAGAACACCUCCCUCCGAAGGAGGAGAUGCAGGUUCGAUUCCUGCCGGAAGCA